GCAGUGAGAGGCUAGUUAUUUGGCUGCUCAACAUGUUUACUCUUUCCUCUUUUUUUCUUGUCUGUGCAAAUGAGAAAGGGUCUUUGCUAAGAAAGCUGAUAUGUAACUCCAGAGCACAGCUUGGAUCAGCAUUCCUGUGACUCUGCCUGAACUUGCUCCUCUAAGACAGCACCCCAGCCCUCCCAGUGAGUGGGCAGCACUGCUCUGUCCCCUGGCACCAGUUGCCCCAGCCAUCCCAGCAGGGCCAGAAGCCCCUGAGUUGUCCAGGCAUCCUCCCCCUUCCCUCCCCUUAAAAGCAGAAAUUUGAUGUUUGAUACCUGCAGGCUCCUCAGCUUCUAAGAAUCUUCAGUACAUCACAGCAGGCCCUACCUGGCUUUAUGCUCCCUGUGGUGCUGGGGCAGAGCAAAUUGGCCAGGGAGGAGAUUUGGGGAUGGGAUUGUUUGACUCCCUUUUCCUCCACAAAUUUCAGUUUCAGAGCAGACUUGUGUGGGUAGCAGAGCCCAGACAGGGUGGGGACAUUUCAUAGGGCUUUCUGUCUAACCCAGUAGGGAAAUCCCUGCCAGCCUGGCUUCUCUGCUGCUGCGUCUGUGUCAUUACUGUGCCCAGCUUGUCACUGGGCUGGACCCACCCUGCCAGAGACACCAGCACCUCAGUUUCAGCCAACAGUGACUUUUAUUUGUGUUUAGUCCUCAUAGCUGCCAAAUAAGCAAUAGCCUUAAAAAAGGAGGAGGUGGAAGAAGACAGCUUCUUUCGUGGUGCUCUUCAGUCCUUGCCUGCUGAGCUGCCCCUUUGUGCUCAGUGCUGGUCCUGGACUGAGAAACCCAUCCAGUGCUGUGAGAUGCUUGUGGCAGGCUUACCUUGCUGUAAUCUUUAGAGGGAAUAAAGGAAAAUGUGGAGUGUUGGCAGAGAAUGAGAUUGGCUGUUUUUGAACCCUGUGCAGCCAUCAGCCAGCUGACCUAGACUCUAGUAGUGGGCAGUGAAACAAUAUACAUUUUUUUUAGUGUCCCAUGGUUUUAUUUCCCACUGUAUUAGCAGUGCAGGUAGGCUCACUCCUGACAUCAGCCACUAGCUGAGCCCCAAUUAAAUCUCAGGUCCAGGUCAGUGUGGUGGGAUGGGGCUGAGGAAGAGCACUGGAGUUUGGGAGGGGGUGGGUGCCUGCCCUGGAGCACCACAGGUGUUGGGGUGCUGGGGUGGCUGCUGGGACCUUGGGGAGGAAGGUCAGUCAGGGGUUCCCCCAUUCCUGGGUGCAUCAGGGUUUUUCUUUGCAGGCAAGGGAGGGGCUGUCACCAUCUGCAGAUGGAGAUGGGAACAGGGCUUUGUUUUUAGGGGUAGUCAAAUCCUUUAUUUUUCUCCCCCCACUUCCACUCACUGCCUCCAUCCUAACACAGUAAUUUUCCAGAAACUCUAUGAGAUGGAGCUUCCUUACCCGGGACAAGCAAAGUGCCAGCCAGCAAACACACUGGUAAACAACCCAAUCUGUGGUGCACAGGAAAGUCUGGAAGGAAACCUCCUGAUCACUGAAGCUCCAUUUUGUUCCACUGGAAGGAGAAACUCAACAGCCUCACAUGGGCCAUGAGGGAUGGGGCCAGGAGCUCAGCAAACUCACAGCACAGGCAAAGUGCUCAGCACACUCACCAGGCUGGAGCUGCUGGAGGCACUGGGAGGAAGGGGCUGGCUCUUCAUUAAUUCCUGAGCCACGCUGGGCUGUGGCAAAGCUCAACAGAGCAGCAAGGGAAGGUACUCUCCCUUUUGUGCUGGGGGGUAUACGAGUAUUUAUAUAAGAAAUGGGAUGGUGUACAGACACACAUAUGUAGACAAACAUAAACCAAAUGUCUGUUAAGUAUAACCAUAUACAAAUGUAAACAGUAUGUAAUAUGUAGAUUGACCCAGCAGUAAUUCUAUUAUACAUUAUGAUAUAAUAA